GACGAACGCUGGCGGCGUGCUUAACACAUGCAAGUCGAGCGGUAAGGCCCUUCGGGGUACACGAGCGGCGAACGGGUGAGUAACACGUGGGUGAUCUGCCUCGCACUUCGGGAUAAGCCUGGGAAACUGGGUCUAAUACCGGAUAUGACCUGCUGUCGCAUGGCGGUGGGUGGAAAGAUUUAUCGGUGCGAGAUGGGCCCGCGGCCUAUCAGCUUGUUGGUGGGGUAAUGGCCUACCAAGGCGACGACGGGUAGCCGACCUGAGAGGGUGACCGGCCACACUGGGACUGAGACACGGCCCAGACUCCUACGGGAGGCAGCAGUGGGGAAUAUUGCACAAUGGGCGAAAGCCUGAUGCAGCGACGCCGCGUGAGGGAUGACGGCCUUCGGGUUGUAAACCUCUUUCGACAGGGACGAAGCGUAAGUGACGGUACCUGUAGAAGAAGCACCGGCCAACUACGUG
rnacentral:rRNA from 1 species